rnacentral:lncRNA from 10 species
CCGGGUUCUUACUCACCCAGCCCCCCACGCAUAGCGCCCUGGAACCCAUGUGAUCACUGUUUGUUGAAUGACGACUGAAUAUUGAAAUGGAAAACACUGUGUUCCAGACACCUGAGUUAGAAGCCUAGCCCUGCCCCUCGGUUGUUCUGUAACCUGGUGCGUGUUACUUAAUCUCUCGGAACGAGGAAAACACCACCAGGGUACACAGACUGGCACUGUGUCCCCAACGCUCCUGCUCACCCACGAACCUGAGAGAUAAAAUGACUUUGUAGGGGGUCUCCAUACCCACGACACUCCCAAAGAGAGAGGGCGCAGACAAGGCCUGUUUAUUUCACUCGUGUGCGCCCUCAGGAGAGGCCCAGGGAUGUUGGCACAGCUCGGGAAGCCUCGGCUCUGAGAGGCCAGACUCCAGCCACGCCAUCCAGACCACGGGGCCACGGGGCCACGGGGCCAGCUGAGCCCGCAGUCACUCUCCUCCUCUGCUCCUCCGCCUCUAAAAGGUCCUUUUCAGACGCUCAGGCACUCGCAGGCGCCCCUCUUUCAUCAUGGUUAGGCGCCACAUGCUUUUCAUCUCCAAGUCUGGCUACUGCAGAUGCAGAAUGAAAAACGAGCCAAUAACACAGCAAACCCGGGCAACUCGGCACGAAAGGCAAUAACCGUGGUGAGGGGCCAGGCGGCGAUUCCAGCCAGACAGAUGAGCGGGCGUCACGGGCUCCAGGUGACGUAGAAAGGGCACAGAAAGGUCUCACCCUGAAGGGAGAGAACGUGGGGCAGGGGCUGGAGCGAGUGUGGAGACCCGGGUUCCAGCUCCCUCUCUCCUCGUCCUGCCAGGGACUGGGCCGAGAGACUUGGGCCCUCUGCCCCUCGGCUUCCAGGUCUGUCAAAUGGGGCAAUAGGAGAGUGCUGACAGCCCAGGGCUCCCCUGAGAGCUUUAAGAACACACCUGGAAAGUUCUAGCGCAAGGUGAAGACCGUAAGAAUGUUAGUGGCCGCCCCAUCUGUGAACUAGGCACGGUCCUGUAGAUCUCAAAUGGCCACCUUUCAAGUGAGGACAACACGGGUGGUGACGGUGCCGGGAAAAAAGAACGCACGCCUCGGCCGUGAGGCCUCUCCGAGAAAGGGACAGGCAGCAGUGGCACCGCCCACACAGAAGCAUGGUCACCCAAACUCAGGCAGGCAGGUCAGGUGGGUCCCAA